CCUACGGGAGACAGCAGUAAGGAAUAUUGGUCAAUGGAGGCAACUCUGAACCAGCCAUGCCGCGUGCAGGAAGACUGCCCUAUGGGUUGUAAACUGCUUUUAUCCGGGAAUAAACCUACUUACGUGUAAGUAGCUGAAUGUACCGGAAGAAUAAGGAUCGGCUAACUCCGUGCCAGCAGCCGCGGUAAUACGGAGGAUCCAAGCGUUAUCCGGAUUUAUUGGGUUUAAAGGGUGCGUAGGCGGCCUGUUAAGUCAGGGGUGAAAGACGGUAGCUCAACUAUCGCAGUGCCCUUGAUACUGAUGGGCUUGAAUGGACUAGAGGUAGGCGGAAUGAGACAAGUAGCGGUGAAAUGCAUAGAUAUGUCUCAGAACACCGAUUGCGAAGGCAGCUUACUAUGGUCUUAUUGACGCUGAGGCACGAAAGCGUGGGGAUCAAACGCGAGUAUAGUACUACCGUAGGUACUACGACCGUACCGAACAGUACGAACUACGUCGUCGUUGGUCGGACGUACUACACGUACGUCGACGGCCGUACGUAACGGAACGGAAACGGUUAACGGUUAAGGUUCCGUUACCCUACCGGGUUAGGGGUAACGGUACCCGGCCCCGACGGGUAGGGAAACGUAAACCCGUAAACGUAAAGUAAGUUAAGUUACGGUACGGUACGUAGGACGUACGUUACCGGACCGGACGGACCGACCGACGGGGAGGGGAGGGGUAGGGAG
rnacentral:rRNA from 1 species